rnacentral:rRNA from 1 species
GACGAACGCUGGCGGCGCGCCUAACACAUGCAAGUCGAACGGAGAAUUAGCAAUAAUUCUUAGUGGCGAACGGGUGAGUAACGCGUAGACAACCUACCCUUUAGAUGGGGACAACACCGCGAAAGUGGUGCUAAUACCGAAUAUUGCUUGGGAAGCGCAUGCUUUUCAAACUAAAGAUGGCCUCUAUUUAUAAGCUAUCGCUAAAGAAUGGGUCUGCGUCUGAUUAGCUAGUUGGUGAGAUAAAAGCUCACCAAGGCAACGAUCAGUAGCCGGUCUGAGAGGAUGAACGGCCACACUGGGACUGAGACACGGCCCAGACUCCUACGGGAGGCAGCAGUGGGGAAUCUUCCGCAAUGGACGAAAGUCUGACGGAGCAACGCCGCGUGAGUGAUGAAGGUUCUCGGAUCGUAAAACUCUGUUGUUAAGGACGAAUGUAUAGAUUGUGAAUAAUGGUUUAUAAUGACGGUACUUAACGAGGAAGCCACGGCUAACUACGUGCCAGCAGCCGCCGUAA